GACGAACGCUGGCGGCGUGCUUAACACAUGCAAGUCGAACGGAAAGGCCCUGCUUUUGUGGGGUGCUCGAGUGGCGAACGGGUGAGUAACACGUGAGUAACCUGCCCUUGACUUUGGGAUAACUUCAGGAAACUGGGGCUAAUACCGGAUAGGAGCACCUGCUGCAUGGUGGGGGUUGGAAAGUUUCGGCGGUUGGGGAUGGACUCGCGGCUUAUCAGCUUGUUGGUGGGGUAGUGGCUUACCAAGGCUUUGACGGGUAGCCGGCCUGGGAGGGUGACCGGCCACAUUGGGACUGAGAUACGGCCCAGACUCCUACGGGAGGCAGCAGUGGGGAAUAUUGCACAAUGGGCGGAAGCCUGAUGCAGCAACGCCGCGUGCGGGAUGACGGCCUUCGGGUUGUAAACCGCUUUCGCCUGUGACGAAGCGUGAGUGACGGUAAUGGGUAAAGAAGCACCGGCUAACUACGUG
rnacentral:rRNA from 1 species